GAUGAACGCUGGCGGCGUGCCUAAUACAUGCAAGUCGAGCGAACAGACGAGGAGCUUGCUCCUCUGACGUUAGCGGCGGACGGGUGAGUAACACGUGGAUAACCUACCUAUAAGACUGGGAUAACUUCGGGAAACCGGAGCUAAUACCGGAUAAUAUAUUGAACCGCAUGGUUCAAUAGUGAAAGUCGGUUUUGCUGUCACUUAUAGAUGGAUCCGCGCCGCAUUAGCUAGUUGGUAAGGUAACGGCUUACCAAGGCAACGAUGCGUAGCCGACCUGAGAGGGUGAUCGGCCACACUGGAACUGAGACACGGUCCAGACUCCUACGGGAGGCAGCAGUAGGGAAUCUUACGCAAUGGGCGAAAGCCUGACGGAGCAACGCCGCGUGAGUGAUGAAGGUCUUCGGAUCGUAAAACUCUGUUAUUAGGGAAGAACAAAUGUGUAAGUAACUAUGCACGUCUUGACGGUACCUAAUCAGAAAGCCACGGCUAACUACGUG
rnacentral:rRNA from 1 species